UGUGAAUUCACUCAUCAUUUAGAAUGGCUACGUCUCUGGAUGUAGAUGGAAGAUGUGGGACGCGGCCAGACGACACUGUAUCGUGACAAGGAUCAGAGGCAAUCCACUGAUCCUCUUUUCCUGGAGGCUCAUCCAGCUUUGUAACCUCGGCGAUCUCCGCAUGAUACGUCUAUAAGAGUGAGCAGAGCCACAGCUUUCAUCUUGGCAUCGUACACCUGCGCCAGCUCAUUCCAGUGUGACCUGUUGUUGUUCAGACCAUCAAACAUGGGCUGGAUCUCUUUGUGGAACCUGGAAAACUCCUGACAGAAUGAAAUGCAGGUUAUCCACAGUGGAAGAUAAACUCCAUUAGAACUGUGUCCGACACAUGGUUUUUGUCACGCGUGAAUGGCGUUUGUGUGCUUCGAUGUUUGCCCCCUGCGCCCCCUGACAUGCCUGCUAGGGCCGGCCGGGUUCAACGGGUUCAACAUCUCUCGACCUGAGACGGUGAAAGCUACAACAACACCUUCAUAAAUCUUCUAAUGAGGCACAACGGGAAUGUUUUUGACCUGUUUUCUCAGUUUGGAUGUAUCUUCCUCUAUCUGUGCCGCUGUGUUUUUCUCCAGGGUAUUCCCUCUUCGUAUAGAGACAAAACAUACAGACUCUUUAGCUUCACUCAACAUAAUAGGGCUGGCAAUCACUAGUCAAAACACUAUGAUGAUAUUUGUCCCACAUAAUUAGCAUACAGUGAUUUAAAUACAAAUGAUUAAACGCUAAUAACAACAAAUGUCUUUUGGCAUUCCCUUUCAUUCCCUCCAUACUCAGUUAGGAUUUAGAGUUAGGUUAGGAUCCAAAUCAGGGACUGAUUGUGUGUCGGGCAAAAACCCUACCACUGUGACGUGAAAUAACCUUAAAGAAUAACAAACUACAUUUGUAAGUUGUCAAAGAAGACAUGGUGUCUACAAAGGCAUACAGCCGGACUCUCUACCUUAACGUUAUUUAACCUUGGGGUCAUGACCCCACCUGGAGUCACCUGCAAUUCAAAAGAGGUUGCCUGAAAUGUCUACUGUAGUAAUUAGAAAUGUCCGAUAUUAACUUUUAUAUAUAUGCCGAUAUUGUCCAAACACUUAAUUUCCAAUUCCGAUAUCAAGCGAUACCGAUAUAUAUGCAGCCAUUUGACCCCAAAACUGAGGUAAAAGUCUCAGGACCCUACCUGCGAUUUCUUGCAUUGUGUUAUCGGAAUUUCCUUAUCAGAGGAAAAAAUGAUAACGAUCUUACCGAUAUUACAUAAUUAUGCUGAUAUCAAGCAGAUAAUAUCGGCCGACCAUUAUCAUCGACAGCCCUACUAGUAAUUAAUAAUAAAAACAUUACCUAUACAUUUUUUUCAACAAUUUUUUUUUUUUACAAUUAUGAUUAAAAACCCCACGACCCAUGUUGAACAAAUGUAUUCUUUCACUUUCAUAAUUAUGAAUUUAGUUCAAAUAAAAGGACACAUAACAAAAACUAAUUCUUAAAAAAAAAAUAAAACGUCUCUAAAUUAGUCAAAUAAUGUCAAAAAAGAAUCAUGGGAACCACUGCUCUAGCCAAUCAAAUCUUGUCAUUAUUGGCCAUAAGAAAAUCAAGAUCAGACAAAGUCAAGUGAGGAAAGGGACUUUGAUUAGUAAGGAUUUGGAUUAGGGAAGAUCACAAGUUUACACUUGUCAAGGAGUGUGGCCAGAUAUGUGCCAAGGAGACAAACCUCAGACAAGCUAAAGAUACUGGUGUAGGUGAAUUAAUCGAUGAAUGCAUUAAGGCUGCAUGUGUAAGGAUCUGAAGCACAUUUUAACGAUGGGACCAUUAGAUACUUUGUGAAUGAAAAAAGUUGAACGAAUAAUUAUAUUUAUAUUAAUUAUUUAUCAUCAUUGAAAUAAAGGUUGGCAAUCAUCAUCAUCGGUGUAUCCAUUCAAUCAAGGGGGUUAAUGAAAGCCUCCCAUACUGAAAGUCACACUAUAAAGAAAUACCUGGAAGGAAACCUUAUAAAUCAGUUUGGCUACUUUUAGAAUAUUGAUUACAUGGAGCCGUAUCGUGAGUCAAUUUGCUCUGGUGCGACCACAGGUGUGGUGUGUCUAGCAGCUUAUUACUGACCGCUGUAGCCCUGAAGAAGAAGAAUUGAUAAAUCUGUGUCUUUUAUUCAACAAAAGCAAUCUUCCAGUCACCUAGCUUUAUCUCCGUGAAGAAUAAACAGCCUUUCAAAAGCAGUUGUCGUUACCUUGUAUACAAAUGAGCAGACAAAGUCGAUGAAACCGCACUGCAUCUUGGGUAGCUGUUCCGCACAGUUUCUGUCCAUCAUAGGCUACAAAAAGCCAGAGA